rnacentral:lncRNA from 1 species
CAAGAUAUAUGAUAAAUUCAUGAAAACACUGUGCCUCUCUUCUACCCUUGGCAGGGGGGCGGAGGAAUUCUGCCUGACAUCUCCCAUCUUCCUAGUAAUGUUAAUAAAGGAUAGCCACUGGAGGCACAAAAGGAAGCUCUCCACAGGUCAAGUGCUAGAGGUUAUUCUGGACAUAGAAUCCCCUGUAGCUCUAGUGGUCAGGGUCACACAACUGGAUGUAAGUAAAGAAUGUGGCAGCCAUGAAGUCCAGAGAAUACCCAGCCAGGGUGUGACAAAGAUGCAGAGCUACAACUCUGUUCUGUGCCCUGGCAGUGCUACAGGAAGGACUUGACAAAGAGGUAAAGGCUCCAGACACCAAGAUAUUUCAUAUGCCAAUGCAGAAUUCACAUCCCACCCAUGGUCCUGUAGAAGGUACCUUCUGUUCACAAUCAGCUCCCUGUUGUCCCUUUCUGGGCUCAUUUGCUACAUUCCUAACCUGUUCUCCCAAAUCCCCUCCCUUGUUGGGGACUAUAUGAAGAGAUAAAACUUGAGGGAAGAAAGUGAACCUGCAGUCAGCCAUGUACCUUAAAAGUCACAGCUGUCCUCUGUCUUCAAGAAUGACUCUGUUUACAGCUUACUCAGUACCUAGAAAACUGCUGACUGGAGGUGAAAAUGUAUGGACACUGAAGAACUCCCACUAUAAUAUUCACAGAUUUUCCUAUAGGCUCUCCUAGGAGGUGAAGGAGGCCCUGUCAAGUAUAGAUAGCUCUGCCAGUCUCAGAGUGGAGGCAUUGAACAAAGCCUCAGAAACCCCAGAGAUCACAGAUCUAACUUUUCAAAGGCCCACAGGACCAGGUUCAAGAAAGGCAGGAUACAAGGCAAACUGCUUACUCCCUUGCACUCAAGUAUGUGAAAGUUGUUCCUAUCCUCUGGCCAGCCUUUCCUCCCAGUACAAAAACUGGGACCAUAAACCAAGGAUUCUCCUGGCCUUAUAUUCCCAGACCCUAGAGUUGGGGUCUUCUGACAGUUGGAACCAGGCAAAGGGAAACACAUUCUGCCACCAGAGUAGCUGCUGGGCACACUCCAAGUAAUAUGAAAACAACUUGCACAAACUGAGCCCCUGAGCCAGGAAGGCCAAUGCCCUUGAGGUGGGCCAUGUUGAACUCUGACCCUGAUGUUUGUAAGGAGAGUGCAGCAGGUCAAUGUCAGGUAUGGCUGCAUGUGACCCUGGUCAGAGUUACACCACUUGAAUACUGGCACAAAAGGAGAGACCAAGGUAAAGCAAAUUUAUUUUAAGGAACAACUCCCUUUCGAAAUGAUUCUCUAUAGGAGACCAAAGGAAGCAUGGGGCUAAACCAGCGUCCCCUAGUCUGGGUGGCCACAAGCCCACCUAUGUUCUGCUGUGGGUUCUGGCUUCAAAUGCCAGACCCAGGUAAACCUCACUUUCAAGAAUAAAGAUGAACCCACAGAAGACCACCUAUUCUGUACUAUCUCCUUACUGUCCAACUAAGGCAGGAGGCAUGAUGUGACUCCUUGUGCUCCAUGCCCGUGACAAAGGCCAACUCAAUUCCCUACCAUCUGUCUCUAGCUGUGGCCAAACAUGUGAAGCUGGAAAGCAGAGACCACUCCAGGGCCCCUUGCAGUAUAGAUAUUUUUGAGGCAGGGUAGGUGGGCAGCACAUGUUACAUUCCAAGUAAAAUAGCUACAGGGUAAAACACUCCAAUGCCAAUUUAUUUUUUAAAAGGGCUCUGUGUUAUCCUAUGGUUUGCCUUUUUUUUUUAAUAUUGUACAAUCUUUGAAAAUUACAUAAGUUGUAAUGAUCUAAUCCUAUUAAUAGCCGUUCAAAAAACAAAUAAACAAAACAAAACAAAGCAAACAAAACAUUCCCUCCCUCCCAACAACCAUCUGGGUGAAUUAAAAGUCCUGAAAAGAAGCCAAUUCAAUAUGAACUCUACCCUGGUAGAAACAAAAAGCAAAAAGAUGAGAAGAAAACAAAUUAACUAAAAGGUGUGUUGCCAGUGUCUCUCAGGAGUGGGGCCCUGGCUGUUGCCUGGAGUCGUGAAAGGCAGAGCCUGCAGCAUGCAGUAUGGCAGCCGGGAGUCCUUGCAGCCACAUUUCAUCCCGGCAUGUCCAUGUCCCAACUUAGGUAUCAUGGAAAUCCUUCAACAGGGUUCUUCUCCGCUGUUCUGCUAUGUGCAUCUGGUUCUCUAAGUCCUGCACAAAGGAAGCAAGGAUGGGUGUUUGCAUGGUUCAGUGCCAGGAGUAGGGAGUAACCAAAGCCACACCUACCAUAUCAAUGGGCUCCAAGGAGCCAAAGCAAUGCCC